rnacentral:lncRNA from 1 species
UAAACUCGGUUUGAUGAGUGAAGUACGGGCAGUGCUAGAGGUGGAUGGAACAGAAAUUGAAGAUGAUGAAGUUUUAUCCCUGUUUACGAAAGGUGACGUCAUCAUGGAUUUGUGUUGGAAGUCGGCCAAGAGUGGGAAGGGGCAGCCACUGUUUUAACAGUUCAUGCUAGUGAACAGAAUUAAAUCACGGAUGUGAAUGAUCAGUCAGAGAGACAAACAGAGUCAUGUAAAGAUCGGUCAGAGAGACGACCAGAGCCUUAUCAAAAGCAGUGUAACAGCCCAGAAACUGAAAAGAUGCCCAAAUUGAGUGAAUACAUUCACAAGAAGUUGAUUCAAAAGGAGAGCCAUCUGGUUUGGUCCAAACUGAUACAAGAAUGUGCAUAUCAUUUCAUCACAUUCUUUCCACAAAUUGGAUUGGACAACAGUUCUGGGGACUACCGGGAAAUAGGGAGUGAGAUGUUUAAGAUGUAUCCAUCAAUUGCACAUGAUGGUACCCAUCCAUGGGUAAUUCUAUUUCAUGACUCCUUUCAGCAACCAUUUGAGGGGCAUAAGAGUUAUGGAUUUAUUCAGUUUUUGAAAAGUGUUUCAUUAGAGAUGGAGAAGCAGAACGAAAAA